CCCCCUCUCUUCCCUCUGGUGUUUUUUGUCGGUAACCCGCCACCACCAUGGAGUCAAAAUUUCUCCAAGGGUGUUCUUCUCUGACGUCAAAACCCUCUCUAACCCUAAAUAAAAUACCCAGAGACCUCACCCUAAUUUAUCCCCCAUUUAUUCAAUUUUCCCCAAAUUAAUUUCAAUUCCUGGGUUAAUUAAGAAUGCAGAACCAAAGAAUGAAGCAACAGUAGCAAUCUUUGAUGCCGCAAGCUCUAAUCAACGGCAGUCUCUUUACCACCCUGGUCUUCUUGCUGCUGCGCCGUUUGUUUAGAAUUGCAGAAACUUCACUGAUUGUUCAUUCACGCAGCUGAGAGAUUAUCUCCUGGUCUCUGAAAUCCAACAACAUUCCUUGCAGGCCACUGUUAGUGUACAACUGUGCAUAACUCUUUGAAAGGCCUUAUAUUUAUUGCUGGGUGAGUCACCAGGAAUCUUCUCAUCCUUGGAAGUAUGCUUUUGCGUAAGUUUAUGUAAGAUUAAUAUUUCUAUCUUCCUUUAUUAUUGAACAUGUUGAUUGCCUCCUCCAAUUAUAGAAAGAGGAAUUAACCAGCUUGCAUCAUUGUCAAGUUAACCUUCUGUUGUGCCAUAUCCAUUUACAGGUGGACAUUCUUGUAUCUUGGUUGUUAAUUCCUCUUUCUAUAAUUGUGAAUUUGUGAUAAAUGUUUUUAAAAUGCUUAGAAGAAUUCUCAAAUUUGGGCAUUACUUAGAAACAAAAAUUUGUAAUCUUGGUUGUUCAAAGUAAAAUAUGGUACUGAUCUAAUAUGUUUUUUCAGCAAUGCAACUUGAUUGUUUAAUAUGAUUAUGUAGUUUAUAUAUGUAUCUGAGUACUUUAAGUUUAUGUAUACUAUAUGUAACCAUGUUUAAUCCAGAUACUUUACUUUUUGAUAUCUCUUAAUCAAAUAAUGACUGCUUAUAAUUAUCGAAUCCUAUAAUGUAGUCAAAGUCUCAAGUUAAAUGUCCUUUGGAAAGUUCCGGUCUUGCAGAUGGCCCAACUACUGAAUUGUAAUAUUACUAGUAGCUUAAUCAAGAGUUAUUCAUAAUAGUUGUUUAUACCUGUUGUCCACUGAUAGUUGCAGCUGAGAUUUAUUUAAAUAUCAACUUUGCUACUCGAAUAAGAAGUACCAGUAUCGAAUAGGAAACGUCUACUGUUUAGACUAUGUAGUUCCUUGCAGAUUUUGAAGACUAUAGUCUUUAGUAUUAACCUUUUAAUCCUCCCCUGCCCCCCUUUCUUCUUCUAUGUACAUGUAAUGACCAUGUAAGUGAACGUCUUGCCUUCUAUGGUGUCAGUACAAACCUAGUUAGUUAUAUAUGGUGUCCAUGCUCCAUAGAUUAUUGCUUGGUUGUACUUUGUAUAGAUUAUUGCUUGAUAUUCACUAGUAGAAAAAAAUAUUUGUGGCAAUACUUAAUAUAAUGAUUCUCUUGCAUAUAUGAUAUUGGAACCAAUGUUGAGAACGCUCAAGUAGGCGACCCAUCUGGCAAAGGCAUCAAAGACUCGGCGUUCAAAUUCAGCACUGGUAUUCAAUCAUCCGAGGGAGCGGCUUUUCACCUUUGAGGAGAUAGAUGAAGUUCGAGAAAUGUUGGCAAAUUUCAUUACCAGUGAUUGUCUAUGAUAUUUUCUUGUACUGAAUCUUAAAUGAUGGAUGCUAGCUAGUUUUUCAUAUGAUUGUAAUGUAAUCGACUUUUAUAUUUUCAAUUAUAUACUAUUUAAUUUAAUUA